rnacentral:rRNA from 1 species
AGUGGGGAAUAUUGCGCAAUGGGCGAAAGCCUGACGCAGCCACGCCGCGUGAGCGAUGAAGGUCUUCGGAUCGUAAAGCUCUGUGGGGAGAGACGAAGAAAGCCCAUGAAGAGUGGGCCUUGACGGUAUCUCCUUAGCAAGCACCGGCUAACUCCGUGCCAGCAGCCGCGGUAAUACGGAGGGUGCAAACGUUGCUCGGAAUCAUUGGGCGUAAAGCGCACGUAGGCGGCGGCAUAAGCGGAAUGUGAAAGCCCAGGGCUCAACCCUGGAAGUGCAUCCCGAACUGUGUCGCUUGAAUCUCGGAGGGGGACAGAGAAUUCCCGGUGUAGAGGUGAAAUUCGUAGAUAUCGGGAGGAAUACCAGUGGCGAAGGCGCUGUCCUGGACGAAGAUUGACGCUGAGGUGCGAAAGCGCGGGGAGCAAA